ensembl:lncRNA
AUGCAUCUCCGGGACGCACAGAUGAGAUGGAACUGUCCCACGCAUGUUCUCUGGGGCAGAAACGGCGGCAGAGCCUGCCGAGGCCACUCUUGCCAGCUGGCCAGGGCACAGCGUCUGACCCAGGAGGCUGUGACCUCGCUGCCCCAGGCCUGGCAUGGUCUGUGGACAGUGGCCUGUCCCACCAGCCACCAGGAACCUCCCUUCAGUGCCCACCCCAUCCACCUCGCCAAGACUGAUCUAGAAAUUAUUUAUAGAUCCGAACUCCACAGAAACCAUUGUGUCUGCUGUUGCCAUGGCAAUGGGGAUGUGGCAGGAGCGCCAGGCUCUCAGGCUUUCCAGGGCCUGUGGAGGCCGGCAAGGGCGGUCGAUUUCUACCAGGAGCCCCUGACUCACACCCGCCGUCAGAGACCCCCGGGAGCGAAGAAGACAGGCUUCCCACCCUUUUCCAGCAGGGCUGGCUGCAUCCAGGAAGACAGCGCUGCUGGCCCUGCUGCACCUGCUCCCUCUUAGGACUGAAUGCCCUACGAUCCCCACCGAAUGAGGAAGGACGCUAGAGGUUACAGGACUGGUCCCCGACCGCUCAGCCAGAAACAGGCUUUGAACCCUGCUGAACUCCGGUGGCACAGGCUGCACAAGGCUUGCGUCUCCCUGGAAGGGCCACUCCUCUCUGGUCAGCGAAAUCUCCUCCCCGCCCAGGAAUCUGGACGGCCCCUGCCAUUUGCCUGGUUGUUCCCCUACCCGAGUGCCCUCGAUUUUCCCCUCUGGUCGGGGCAGGAGCGGCAGGGCUGGAUGCCAGGGCCCCAGGGGCAGGGAGGUGAGUGGGCACCACUCCUUCCCCCACGGGUAAGGUGGACAUCCAGCUUCGGACCACAUCACAGACGCCCAGGCCCCCAGCCACAGCCGGGAUCACUCAGCUGGGUAACGUCUCCACUUCCCAGCUGGGCCAGAACUUUUCCAUGCUGCCAGGACUUGCAAGAAAACAGCUGUCUGGCUGGUGAGUAGAGGGGCCUGGCCCUGGGUGGCCUUCCUGGCUGGUUGGCCCCAGGGACUCAGCAGGCACAAAAACAGCCUUGCUUCUCCCCAGCUGCCGGCUCAAGGUCUGAGGGACCCUGACAGGCCUGUCCCCGGCUCAGGGCUGGCUGUGCUUCCCUUCCAGGCUGAACAGAAAGCAAAACAUCAGCCUGCUGGCCCGUGGGGGUUGGGGGCGGGUCACUGCCCUCUAACAGCCUGGACAUUCUUGCAGCCACUUGAGCUCAAGAGGUUUAAAAGUUCCCACUGCUUGGAGGACAAGGACAGCCCAAGAGAGUCUGCUGGUGCAGGCAGUGGAUAUCUGAUUCCCCCAGGAGCAGGGAUUUCUGUGGGACUCCUGGAGGACUUUGCGGGCCUGUGAACCUAGCAAGAAAAAUGUAUGUACUUGUUUUCACCAACAUUUAACUCACACACACAGACCCUGGACUCGGGGGGAUCAGUCAGCUGUGACUUUGCUGCUCACAGACACCUCGACAGGGAUCCCGCAGCUAUUGUCCAGAGAGACGUCUCACAGCAGCACGGUCUUUACCUCCUCUUCCAGGUAGGCGCUGUGAUCACCCCCACUUUACAGAUGAGAAAAGCCAGGCUGGGUGAUGCCAUGACUCAGGGUUCCCCAGCUUGUGAACUGGUAUUCGAGCCCAGGUCCAUCUGAGCCCCUGGGGUUAAUGCACUAAACCAGAAUUGCAGGAUUCCACAGCGGCAGACCGCCCCACACAGGCCCACCUCUAACAAAGGAGAUGGGAUGGUUAGAGCUGGUUAUUUAAUGUGCUGUAAAGAAACCCCUGUCACUAAAUCUCCAUCUAGAGUUAUAUAUGUAACUGACUUUGAUUAUAGUCUAUGCAUUUAUUUAUGCAUUUAAAACAUUAUUCUGGGCAGGGAUCCACAGACUUUAGUGGAAUGGCAAAAGGAUCCAUGGCAUGAAUAGUGUUGAGAACCCUUGCUUUAGAACCUGCUGGUAAAAUCAUAAUGAGGAGGUGGAAAACACAGUGCGACUUCCAUGAGGGCGGGGCCUGCCUGUCUCUUGUUCCGGCAUCUAAAGGAGCUCUUGGUCAGGAAAAGCAUCUGAUUUCCCUAAGUUUACACCUUUUUCCUGUUCCCACCCCACUAUCUCCAUCAGUAUCAUCAAAGCUGUUGUAGAGUGCCCUGCAAAUGCAGCCUCAAGACAAACCCUUCUGGUGAGGCUGCUGCCAGGACAGUUCUCCCGUAUAAACACUGGAGCAGCCAUGUCCCUCAAAAACCACCUAUGGGAGAGGUGAGUUCCAGAGGGGUGUGCAGAAAUGGCUCUGCAAAUCCAGUCCAGGUGCAAAUCCUGGCCCCAUGAUUCACUAGCUGGGUGACCUUGAGUGAUUUCCCUAACCUUUCUGGCCCUUGUUUCCUUAUCUGUGAUAUAGGCUUAAUCAUAGAACAAUAAAAAAUAUUUCAUAUUUGCCUGAUCACAUAUCUAUGCAUUUAUUCACCCACCCAUCCAACCAUUAGUCCAUUCACUCACCCAUCCAUCCAUCCAUCCAUCCAUCCACCCACCCAUCCACCUAUUCAUCC